rnacentral:lncRNA from 10 species
GUAAAUAAAAGGGAAAAUAUGGGAAAGUGGGAGGGUGCAAAAAAUGUAUCCUCCUCUGAAUUGACUCCACUCCCCUGUGAGUGACAGGAGCCGGCGUUCUCCACGAGACCCUGUCUGCAUCAGUCCAUCUCCCCCACCCCACGCUAGGUCUGCCACCACCUCUCUGCGCUGGCAAAUAAUCUGCACUCAAAGGAAAUAAUUAUGAGGCCCAUGGUGGCCUCAAUACCCGCAAGACCAAAGCCUGUGACAAGCGCAAUGCUCCAAGCCUGGCCCAGGGAAGCAGAAUGGAACUGCCACAGCCCCCACCAACCCAGAUCCACCUACUCCAGGAAACCGGCCCAGUGCCAGGGCUUUGCGCCUGGGGUGGCCUAACAUUUCCGCCCAAACUUGGGCCAAUUUGAGAAGGUGGAGGGUGAGGUGUUUGGGGAAGGAGUGUGUUCCUGUUGCUCGUUGCCAUCACCACCUGGAGGAGGAGAAUGGAGUCGAUCCAAUGGAAGACGAAACUUUCUUUCUUUCUUUUCUUAUUUUUCUCAUUUGGGGAAAACACAGGGGUCUGCACCUCCGGGGUGCAAUGGUGAGCCUCGCACUGGGAAAACCACCUUUGUGAUCAUGGUAUCUCCCCUGUCAGGAAGCCUGUGUCCCUGAACCCUUCUCCCGGGCCAAGAUUGGACUGUUUGAGGAAGAUGGAAAAAGUGCUCUGUGAGCAGGAUUAUGAAAUGACAGGGAGGACGUGAGGGGCUUUCGAAACCCUGGGAAGGAAGAUGCCCACGUGAAUGGAAAGUAGAAAGAAGAAAGUCAAAAGCACCUAUGAGAAAACUGAGGCUUGGAAUGGUGAAGGAGGUCACUGAAAGUCACACUGUGAGUUAAACUGCAAAGCUGUGAAUGGAAAACCCCCUAAGGCCCUGCUCUUAGCUCCUCUUGGUUCCCUGUUGCAAAGAGGCAUUCCCCAGGCAGCUGUGAGGUGGAAAUCUCUGUCUUCAGGCUUGCGGCUGAGAAGUUUCCCAGAGACGAGAAGCUGGAGCCUUUGGAGACCCCACUCGGCUGAGGUCCCGGGACCACGAGGGGGCAGCAGAGGUCUGCUGCGCUGGCGGGAGGCUCUGUCCCCGGCUGACUGCAGGCUCCGGGCAGCUGUCCUGAGUUAAAACCUGAACCUCGGGUGGCCGAGAAUAGCAAGGGGCUGUCAUUCACGUGGGCAUCUUCCUUCCCAGGGUUUCGAAAGCCCCUCACGUCAUCCCUGUCAUUUCAUAAUCCUGCUCACAGAGCACUUUUUCCAUCUUCCUCAAACAGGUCUGAUCUUGGCCCGGGAGAAGGGUUCAGGGACACAGGAUUCCUGUGAGCAGUGUGUUAGAUGCUGGGCUGGUCACUGGGGCCACGGAGAUUAAAAAAAAAAAUCCUCUAUAAAACCCAGGACUUGCCCCCAAGGGAGACUGGCACCUAAAUAAGUAACCGAGGUACACGAUGCAAAGUGCAAUAAUAGACGGACAUCUGCGAUUCGGAGGCAGCACGAAGUGGGAGAAAGAGGGGCGGAAUUAGAAGCCAGGGAUUUGGCUUAAAGGUGGCCCGAGGUGUGCAGCUGCCUGCAAAUGCCAUCCUUCAUGUGAGCUGAGGCACAGGAAGAGGCUGAGAAGUCCGGUCUAGAGGGAUGUUGGGUAAAUGGUCCCAGGUUGAAAAAUAUUAGAUGCUGAAGGAAUGUCAGAUGGUCUCGAAAUUGUGAGGUUUGCCUCUGAGUCCCAGGCAGGAUGUGGGCUGGGAUAGCUGAGGCAGGCCGAACCUAGGCUCAGGAAGAUGGUGAGAGAUUGUAAAAAUAAACAGGUUUAUUGUAGAAAUUUUAGGGGUGGGGUUAGGAGGUCAUUAGGAGGUCCAGGGUCAGGGUCAGUGGGCUUCAGGACCUGGCAAAGCCAGAGGGCAUGAGAGCCAGCCUUGCCUACCCACUCCGGGCUGGGCCCACAGCUGCCACGACCCUUUGUCCCCAAGGGUGACAGGAGAGCUUGCACCAGCCCAGAUGCUUCCUUCUCCAAAGACAUGGACGGAGGGUCUCAGGCUUAUACCAGCCAGGAUUAUUCCAGUGGGAUUCCAGCUCUCCUCCUAGCCAUGUCCUUCCCGCAAAAGUUUGAAGCGGGUCUGGCUGGGUGAGGUAACUCCUUGACAAACUGGACUCAUUUUUGGCUGAUGACCUGUGUGGUCCCUGAAGCUCUGUCCUCACCCAAGAUUGGCCCAGAGGGGAGUGGAGGUGGAAGGGGAAGGCCAGGCAUGGCUGCGGCACUCCAUUUGCCCCCAGCAGCCUGGCGGUCUUCACUUGUGCUCACCCCACAGGCAUUGUGGACACAGGUGUGUCACCAAAGGGCCAUGAGGCUCCUGUGUCACGUGGGACACCCCUGCCUUGCCAAUCUUUAAUUUAUUAUUAUUAUUAUUUUUCCGAGAAGGAAUUUUGCUCUUGUCGCCCAGGCUGGAGUGCAGUGGCGUAAUCUCGGCACUGCAACCUCCGCCUCCCAGGUUCAAGUGAUUCUCCUGUCUCAGCCUCCUGAGUAGCGGGAUUACAGGUGCCCACCACCACGCCUGGCUAAUUUUUGUAUUUUUAGUAGAGACGGGUUUCACCAUGUUGGCCAGGCUGGUCUCGAACUCCUGACCUCAGGUGAUCCAUCUGCCUCGGCCUCCCAAAGUGCUGGGAUUACAGGAGUGAGCCACUGCACCCGGCCAUUAAUUUUUUUCCCAGGCAGUCUCCCUCUGGGCAGGUGAGUCCCAGGUGGCAGUGUCCGGCAGCCAUCCUCGGACUUCUUCCCCGCAGCAUGGCCAAGGGCAAGGGAGAGGGAAGGGACGCAGGCCAGGGCAUGACAUACAGUGGCCCAACGUAGGAAAAACAUUUUUUUUUGACCUCUCAUUCAUUUUCUUAAAAGUUCACAUGCCUUUCACCUUCUUUUUAGUGCCUCCUGGCAAGUUUUAUCAUUAAAAACAAUCUUUUUUAAUGACUUGCAUUUCCAUUUAAAGCGAUUUGUGUGACUGGUUUAUUUGCUUAGUCUUAAGGUGAUGUCACUGCAACAGGCACCAUGGAUUUAAGGAUAUAUAAAUCCUUACGUAUCCUUUUUUCUUUUUUUGAGAAGCAAAAAACAUGAUCUCAUUAGAUGUUAAAAUGUUAAAAUUAGAUAUUAAAUGUUAAAAUAUGGGGAAAAUGCAGAUCUUAGAACGAGGGAAAUUCUUGUUGGUAAUUUUCAUCCUCCCAAAAAACUUCAGAAUAAAAUUGGUUCUCCCUGAAGAUGUGUGACAUUUGUACUUGGCUUCAUGUCCUUAUCCUGCAGUGUUGGGGGGCACAGGGUGAAGUCACGCUUGUUGUGAGCUGGCCCUGUAUUUUCCCAGAGAGAAUUCUUUCUGGCUACCCAGAAUGUUCAAGGGCUGGAGUUCCAGUUAAUUGAACCAUUCUGGGUCAACAGCCGCUCUUGACAGAUUUGAAUUUUCAGCAUUUGGAGUUAGAAAUCUUUCUUAAGAAUGUAAUCUCAUCAACAAGCAUUCAGUGAGUACCGAAUAUGGAC